UACGGAGGAUGCGAGCGUUAUCCGGAUUUAUUGGGUUUAAAGGGUGCGCAGGCGGCACGGCAAGCCGGCGGUCAAAUCGCGGGGCUCAACCCCGCCCAGCCGUCGGAACUGCCGGGCUAGAGUGGGCGAGAAGUGCGCGGAAUGCGUGGUGUGGCGGUGAAAUGCAUAGAUAUCACGCAGAACUCCGAUUGCGAAGGCAGCGCACCGGCGCCCUACUGACGCUCAGGCACGAAAGCGUGGGUAUCGAACAGG
rnacentral:rRNA from 1 species